rnacentral:rRNA from 1 species
CAUUCACGGAGAGUUUGAUCCUGGCUCAGGACGAACGCUGGCGGCGUGCUUAACACAUGCAAGUCGAACGAUGAAGCCCUUCGGGGUGGAUUAGUGGCGAACGGGUG